ACAUCACCAUCCAUGCGGCGUUGACAGCGGAGAAUGGAACAGAUUUUCACCAGGAGGAGAUGACGGGUCAGGUGGAUGGGAGAAUGUUGCUUGGAAAGCAUCCGCAUGAGUGUUAUUUCGGUGAGAAAAAUCUGAAGCAAUAGUUCCAAGUACAACCAAGCUGUAGCUGUGGAAAUCUGCUGUACAGUUCUGGAGACGUCCCUACCUAUCCAAGAUUGGUCUUUAUAAUACUCGUAAGAGAACACAGUCAUACGAGACGAUCUCAUCAUCCUCGACAUCGAGGCGUCAUCCAUUAGUUUUUUCCAUCAGCACAAGAAUUGACCUGAUGUCGACAAGGAAUUAUACCUCAUUGAAUACGAUCGUUGGCUGCCGUAU